AAAACUAGAAAAGAAAGCAUAUACACAAAAUGUUAGAAAUACAGAAGGGCAAAAAGAAAAAACGACCAGAUGCUGACCUCCUGAGGUCACACCCCAGCUAUGGCAUCACAAUGGGAGCACGCUUAGCAGUCAUGAGAAACAAACACUCCACUCCAGGGAAAAGAGCUGAUGGUGAUGAACUGCAGGUGGAAACACGCCAGCAGACUGACACAGCUGUACGGCCAGCAACUCCAGCGCAGCCACAUUGUCCUCAGGACAUGCAAUUCCCACAGGAUAAGGAGGGGUCUCAGGACUGACCUCAGGUGAAGUUACAGUACCUGUGGUGUGUCUCCCAGCCAUCAUGAGCCUACUGCCCUCACCCAGGAGCCCCGCAGGCCACACAGACGACACCAAAUUGGAAUAUGCAAAUCAAUGCCUAAACCAAACCAAACCAUGGUGUCCUCACUGUCUUCAGAUCCACACGUCCCAAUAAUGCCAUCUGACUCGUCACCAGCUGUGUUGUGGCACCAGGAGCCAUCCCUGACAUCUCUCAGUGCACAGCUACCUUACGGUGUGAUGCUCGAGCCAAUCUUCUAGGGUCAUGUCAGACAGCUAAUCAACAACAACAAAAGGUUAUCCUUGCCUUGUUUAGACAGUGAAGGAAAACUGCUCACUCAGGACAAUGCUACCUGGAGUUUUCAUAUCUGCCCUUUAUGUUGAGGUGUGUUGUUUUCUGUCUAAUUUGCUCAGAAUUGGUCAUUGAGGGUUGCUGGAUGUCAUCAGAUGUUUUUCUGUAUUUACUGUAUUUAAGUUUAAACACAGGGAAUAUACAGACACAUAGAUAAAUGGCGCCUGGGGCCCAGGGUGACAGACUGUGGGGCAGGAAUGGCAGUGGCUACUGGCAGGUAUGGUUUCUAGAAUGAUAAGAGCUCUAAAGCUGAUGGCAGGGACUAGUAUACAGCGAUCACAGGUCUGUGAAAACACCAAGAACCACUGGGCAGGACAUUCACAGGGUGAACUAUGCAUGACUCGCAUCUCAACAAAGGACUUUAAACCAAGGCCUAGGUAGUAAUAAACCACAUAAUUUGUUUUCCUGGGGGCAGUGACAGGGAGACCUGAGUUCCUGGGAGGGGAGGGAACGAGGUUCCCAGAGAAUGAGCAGGCAAGAGGUUACUCAGGACUGUGCCAGUGGAGAAAGGCCAAGAAAGCAGGAAAAAAGCUGGGGUGCAGUACUCCCUGAGUGCCCCACACCUCCAAGCAUCACUUCAAAGGGUAUGCGGGUAAGCAGGCCUCAUGCCCAGGGAGAAGGUACUGAAUGGGGCUGAAGAGACGGCUUAACAGCUACGAACACUCAUUGGCUGCUCUUCCAGAGGACCUGGGUUGGAAUUUUAGCAACCACAUGUUGGCUUACA
rnacentral:sRNA from 1 species